rnacentral:ncRNA from 1 species
GAGGAAGCCCGGUGAGAUUCCGGCGCGGUCCCGCCACUGUGAGCCCGGCCCCGGCCGGGUGAGUCAGAGACUC